AGCGAAACCUCUUCAAUGCACGACAGUGUGAAAGGGGAAUCCUACGUGCUUAUGCUUUGCAUAGGCUUUUGCAUAGUGUAAAUAACUACGCGAAUAAGGGGUGGGAAAGACUGGUGCCAGCAGCCGCGGUAAUACCGGCGCCACGAGUGGAGUUCACUAUUAUUGGGUCUAAAGUGUCCGUAGCUGGUUUAUUAAGUCUCUUGUGAAAUUUCUGUUGCUUAACUCAGAAACUGCAAGAGAUACUGGUAAACUCGAGACCGGAAGAGGUAACAAGUAUUGUUAGGGCAGCGGUAAAAUGCUAUAAUCCUUACAAGACUAACUAAGGCGAAGGCAUGUUACUUGGACGGAUCUGACAGUGAGGGACGAGAGCUGGGGGAGCGAACCGGA
rnacentral:rRNA from 2 species